AGAGUUUGAUCCUGGCUCAGAUUGAACGCUGGCGGCAUGCCUUACACAUGCAAGUCGAACGGCAGCAUGGAAGAGCUUGCUCUUCUGAUGGCGAGUGGCGAACGGGUGAGUAAAGCAUCGGAACGUACCGUGUAGUGGGGGAUAACGUAGCGAAAGUUACGCUAAUACCGCAUACGCACUGAGGUGGAAAGCAGGGGAUCGCAAGACCUUGCGCUAUACGAGCGGCCGAUGUCAGAUUAGCUAGUUGGUAGGGUAAAGGCCUACCAAGGCGACGAUCUGUAGCGGGUCUGAGAGGAUGAUCCGCCACACUGGGACUGAGACACGGCCCAGACUCCUACGGGAGGCAGCAGUGGGGAAUUUUGGACAAUGGGCGAAAGCCUGAUCCAGCCAUGCCGCGUGAGUGAAGAAGGCCUUCGGG
rnacentral:rRNA from 1 species